UACGUAGGGUGCAAGCGUUUGUCCGGAAUUAUUGGGCGUAAAGAGCUCGUAGGCGGUCUGUCGCGUCUGCUGUGAAAACUCAGGGCUUAACCCUGAGCUUGCAGUGGGUACGGGCAGACUAGAGUGCGGUAGGGGAGACUGGAAUUCCUGGUGUAGCGGUGAAAUGCGCAGAUAGUCAGGAGGAACACCGGUGGGCGAAGGCGGGUCUCUGG
rnacentral:rRNA from 1 species